CUAUGCCCAAAGAACCUGCCGCCCGGAAGCAACAACUUCCAUCAAACGGCAAAGAAAAGUUCCUAGGGAGAGAGCUUAGCGCCCAAGCAGCCUGCGCUAGUGCCGAGACAGAACAGGAGAGCAGCAGACAGUGCAGGCCGGGCCAGCCUGCAGGCGGUGGCUGCGGCGGCGCUGGUAGGGCAGACCCGGGCUCCGGAAGGCUCCAGGUCCGGGGGUGGCCGCCGGCCUUGGGCACAGUGCCGGCUUUCGCACCCCUCCCCACGACCGCGAGCAGUGGGCGGAGAGAUUAGAGCAAAGGAAAAGACGGACAAUGCCUGGCCGGGCCGGCGACCUCCGUGCGGCCCCCGCCGGCCCGUCCCUACUCGGGCGGCCAGCUACCGGGCUAAGUUUCCUAAGCCCUGCCUCCAGCCCCGGCGGCGAAAGCUCGGCCGCCGCCUUCCUCCCAGCCGGGCGGUUCCCGCGAGUCUGCGAGGAGGAGGCAGCGUGCGAGCCGAGCCGGGCGCGCAAGGAGGCGGCGCGCGAGCGAGAGUCCGUUAGGAGUCUCCGCCUGGGCGCGCAGCUGGCCGACCAUCCCGGCCCGCCUCCCCCUCGCUCCCACCAGGAAGGGCAGCCGGGCGAGAGCCAGUGACCUCUCCUCCCGCCAGAGCCCGACGGGCGCCCGGCGGUGCUGCGAGCUCUUCCCACCCCUUCCCUGCCCCGCCCACCCCUUCGCCUUCCUGAUUGGCGAGAAACCUACAACAGGAACAGGAGUCCCAGCCUUCCAGUGGCUGGACCAGACGCCCUUCAGACUCACCCCGCCUCCGUCCCGCCCCCUCCCCCUGGUUGGCACAACCUCUAAUCACUCUCUAUCGUCUCCCCUAACGUUGCUUUGGAGAACUGGCACUCAAAGCUCACCCUCCCGCCUCCGGAAAGCGAACUUUAUUUUUAUUGGCGAAAGCACACCUUCCUGUGCACCUGAUUGGGCAAGGAGGAGGCUAAUCGGCACGCCUCUUACCUAUUAUCACUCUCCCUUUACGGAUUUAAGAAAACCGCAAAGUCUUUCCUACUUUGCCUUCCAAGCGCCUUUCUCUUUAAAUGUUGCUAAAAGUAGAAGACAAUUUCGCAGCCUGUAUUAAGGGAAGCGGAAAAGAAGAAAGAGAAAGAUUAAAAAUGCUCUCCAGAUGGGUAGUACAUCGGAGCUGGGUCUGGCAUCCUGCGGAUCCUAAUCCUGUGGUCUGGUGCAUGGAGUGGUUACGUUGAGCUAAAGCACCUGAAAUUCUAAUAUUGACUCCUGAGAUCUACUCACAAGCUUUCACUCACCGUUCUCUCCAUUCACACCCUUAGUUUCUUUGGCAUUUCUCCACCCAGAAGAGCUUUAAUAAAGGCGUCUGCGAACCUGAAGCUUCCCUUGUUUAUCUCGCGGUCGUUCAUUUAGAAAAGCAUCUAAGCCUUUCCAUUAAAAGUUCCGUUUAGUCACGUCCUUUGCGUCUCUCUGGCGUUUGCACAAGAGAGAAAAGAUUCCCUACAACAGAGAGUCACCUAGACAUGAAAGAAAUUCUGCUUCUACAACAAUUGACAAAAAGUAGACAGAUUCAUGUUUGACCACACUGGAUACUGGAUCAAGAUGCUGGAGAUAGACCUGAGAUUAAAGAACAAAGAAAUCUUAUCCACUAAACAGUAUUGAUUAGAACCAAAAUAUUUUGUCAUUGGAGGCCUUAUGUUACCCUUAAAAAUAAACUUUCGGAUAUUUUG
ensembl:lncRNA